GUCCGAGUGGUGAAAUCGGUAGACACUGGGGAUUUAAAAUCCCCUGCCGCAAGGCGUGAGGGUUCGAGCCCCUCCUCGGAUACCA
rnacentral:tRNA from 1 species